AAUGAACGCUGGCGGCGUGCCUAACACAUGCAAGUCGAACGAGAACGGGGGGCUUCGGCCUCCUCAGUAAAGUGGCGCACGGGUGAGUAAUGCAUAGGUAACCUGCCCUUUCGUUCGGAAUAACGUUGCGAAAGCAGCGCUAAUACCGGAUAUGACCACGAGGCCCUCGGGCUUUGAGGUAAAAGGUGGCGAUCCUUCGGGAGCUACCGCGAGAGGAUGGGCCUGUGUGACAUUAGCUAGUUGGUGAGGUAACGGCUCACCAAGGCGACGAUGUCUAGCUGGUGUGGGAGGAUGAUCAGCCACACUGGGACUGGAACCCGGCCCAGACUCCUGCGGGAGGCAGCAGUGAGGAAUAUUGCGCAAUGGGGGAAAGCCUGACGCAGCAACGCCGCGGGAGUGAAGAAGGCCUUUUGGUUGUAAAGCUCUGUCGUUUGGAAAGAAAUCAUAGGCGGCUAAUACCCGUUUAUGUUGACGGUACCAUUCAAGGAAGCACCGGCUAACUCCGUGCCAGCCGCCGCAGUAA
rnacentral:rRNA from 1 species